rnacentral:tRNA from 1 species
AUCCCGAGUUCCAUCUCUGGGGGAGAUUGGCCUCCGGAGCCGAAGGUUGCAGGUUCGAAUCCUGCCGGGGAUA